ACGGCUCAGUAACACGUGGACAACCUGCCCUUAGGUUGGGUAUAAACCCGGGAAACUGGGUAUAAUACCCGAUAGGUCUCGAUUGCUGGAAUGCAUCGAGAUUUAAAGCUCCGGCGCCUAAGGAUGGGUCUGCGGCCUAUCAGGUAGUAGUGGGUGUAGCGUACCUACUAGCCUACGACGGGUACGGGUUGUGAGAGCAAGAGCCCGGAGAUGGAUUCUGAGACACGAAUCCAGGCCCUACGGGGUGCAGCAGGCGCGAAAACUUUACAAUGCUGGCAACAGCGAUAAGGGAACCUCGAGUGCCAGGUUACAAAUCUGGCUGUCGAGAUGCCUAAAAAGCAUUUCAUAGCAAGGGCCGGGCAAGACCGGUGCCAGCCGCCGCGGUAACACCGGCGGCUCGAGUGGUAACCGUUAUUAUUGGGUCUAAAGGGUCUGUAGCCGGCCGGAUAAGUCUCUUGGGAAAUCCAGCAGCUUAACUGUUGGGCUUUCAGGAGAUACUGUCUGGCUCGAGGCCGGGAGAGGUGAGAGGUACUUCAGGGGUAGGGGUGAAAUCUUGUAAUCCUUGAAGGACCACCAGUGGCGAAGGCGUCUCACCAGAACGGACCUGACGGCAAGGGACGAAAGCUAGGGGCACGAACCGGAUUAGAUACCCGGGUAGUCCUAGCCGUAAACGAUACUCGCUAGGUGUCGGCCACGGUGCGACCGUUGUCGGUGCCGUAGGGAAGCCGUGAAGCGAGCCACCUGGGAAGUACGGCCGCAAGGCUGAAACUUAAAGGAAUUGGCGGGGGAGCACCACAACGGGUGGAGCUUGCGGUUUAAUUGGAUUCAACGCCGGA
rnacentral:rRNA from 1 species